rnacentral:rRNA from 1 species
AUUGAACGCUGGCGGCAUGCCUUACACAUGCAAGUCGAACGGCAGCACGGGAGCAAUCCUGGUGGCGAGUGGCGAACGGGUGAGUAAUAUAUCGGAACGUGCCCAGUCGUGGGGGAUAACGCAGCGAAAGCUGUGCUAAUACCGCAUACGAUCUACGGAUGAAAGCGGGGGAUCGCAAGACCUCGCGCGAUUGGAGCGGCCGAUAUCAGAUUAGCUAGUUGGUGAGGUAAAGGCUCACCAAGGCGACGAUCUGUAGCUGGUCUGAGAGGACGACCAGCCACACUGGAACUGAGACACGGUCCAGACUCCUACGGGAGGCAGCAGUGGGGAAUUUUGGACAAUGGGCGCAAGCCUGAUCCAGCAAUGCCGCGUGCAGGAUGAAGGCCUUCGGGUUGUAAACUGCUUUUGUACGGAACGAAACGGCGAGCUCUAAUACAGUUUGCUAAUGACGGUACCGUAAGAAUAAGCACCGGCUAACUACGUGCCAGCCGCCGCCGUAAGAC